GGGUUAUGGAGUGUUAAUGGCUGGCUCACAUAGAUGUGGGAGAGUUACCAGUCAACAGAAUAUAGAAUCCAGAAAUAAACUGCUGUGCACAAUUACUAUCUUGAUUUUACAGUGUUACCUGAAGCCAUCACUGAUACCUGUAUUCAUUUGCUGGGGGUGCUGUAACAAAAUACCGCAGACUGAGUGACUUCAGCAACAGAAAUUGACUUCUCACAGUUCUGGGAGCUGAGCUGCAGGAGACUGGGAAGACCCUCUGGAGGAGGAGAUGGCAACCUGUUUCAGAAUGCUUGCCUGGGAAAUCCUAUGGACAGAGAAGCCUUGAAGGCUUCAGUCCGUGGGGUCACAAAGAGUCAGACAUGACUGAAGUGACUGAGCAUGCACACAUACAUUUAG
ensembl:lncRNA